ACAUUUGAAAGAAAGAUAGCAUCUUCAAAUUGAUGAGCAAUUUCGUUGUAUAUUACUUUGGCGAGGAUGGUCUUUCCUAUUCCACCAAGUCCAUAUAUUCCUAUCACGCGAACAUCAUUUGACCAGUGCAUUCAUUUCUUCCAAACGGAAAUCCAUUCCGACGAGGUUCUCAUCAACAUGAAAGCGUUUAGGUUAUGUUUGGUUCCCGAAAAAUAUUAAAGAAAGAAAAAAAAUGCAAAGAAAAAUGAUUUUUUCAUGUUUGGUUGUCCUAUGAAAAAUAUAAAAGAAAAUCAAAUAUAAUUAAAACUAAUUAAAAACUUAUGUAUUUUAAAAUUAUUUAAUCUUUAUAUUAAUGAGUUAAAAUAAAUAAAAUGAGUUUGAAGUAAAAAAUAAAAAUAACUAAUCAACUUUUAAUCCAUUUUUUAUUUUCCUUCACUUUUUCUUUCCUUCUAUUUUUCCUUUGUAUUUUCUUUCUCUUGCAUUUUCCUUCAAAUUUUCUGAGAACCAAACAUAGCCUUAGGCUUCAGCAUAUUGGAAACGUUUUGAGUAAUGCGAUGAAUGAUCUCAGAU
rnacentral:lncRNA from 1 species